AGAGGAUGCUCGUCAGCAUCACCAGCAUCAUCAUCAUAAUCGAUAUAAUCGAUGAUGGGUUGGAGACUUUGCCACCUGUUGUAAUUGUUUAAGGCGGCACGGGUCUAGAAACAGCAGAGCGCGUUUUUUUAAAGAUAAAAACGAGAAUAUUUUUUUUUUGUUAGACCUAAGGGGCAAAUAUAGAAAGCAAAGGAGACAUUGUGGAUUACAGACAUGCUGCAGGUCGCAAUGCAUUGGUACAUUUCAUGCGUUUCAUGUGCAAUGCACGAGGACAAUAAUGGCGAUUUCAUUGUGCAUGGAGUCAUUCAAGAGAUCAAGACCUAUAUUUCGGACCCAAAGUCCAUUCUGAGGGUUGGUUUCUGUCUUUGGUUAUCUAGCUGUAUGAGUUAUAACACAUUUCAUAAAGCUAGAUAACCGAAAGUAGAAAUAAUCCUUAAAAAACUGUUCAAGUUGUCAAUCAACGGCAAACGGCGGAGAGAGCGCCAAAAUUUACCUCAGAGUGAUUUUUCAUCCGCAAAAAGGCACAGUAAAGUAACAACAAGGGCAUCUGUGUGAAAGAGCCAGACAUGCUUGGAGGAAAUGUGGCAGCUUACAUUUGCCACAUCUUUUCUUCUCCGCCUACCCCAAAACCCAGAGUACCAUCUGUGCCCCUGUGGGGCUCGGGAGAACCCAUGCCAGUGCCAGCGGGGACGCAAUCCUUGUCAGCAUCCUGGCGCCAAGAUGGACUGCUUAGAAAGAAAGGGAGGCCAUCUUGACAGAGAUCUUUCAUGGGAAGCUAAGAUGGCUGGGCUGACACAUGAGAAUGGACAGUGGACUGACCUAUGCGGAGACACACUAACCUCGUGGGAUAAAAUAAAUGAAAAUCAGCUGUAAUUAGAUGGCAUGAAAGAACAAUGGAAAAAUCCCAGGCACCUGAAUCUAACCUGAAACACAUUAAAUUGUGUGUGUGUGUGUGUGUGUGUGUGUGUGUGUGUGUGUGUGUGUGUGUGUGUGUGUGUGUGUGUGUGUGUGUGUGUGUGUGUGUGUGUGUGUGUGUGUGUGUGUGUGUGUGUGUGUGUGUGUGUGUGUGUGUGUGUGUGUGUGUGUGUACCUGGUAAUUAUUACGUUGUGGGGACCUAUUGUCCCCACAUAGAUAGGAAUACCAGUGUUUUUGUGACCUUGUGGGGACAUUUAAAUUGUAUUAUUUUUCUGUUUAGAUCAUGUGAACUGUGUUUUUACAGUAGACAUCAAUUUUUUUUAACACAUUGCUGUACAGGGGGUUAGAUGUAAAACGUCUUGUACUGUAUUUAUUUCACUAUAGUGUUUUAUUUAUUAGCUGUGGAUUAUUUUGCUAUUUGUUCAAAUGCAAUGUAU